rnacentral:tRNA from 1 species
AUAUUUUUAGUAUUAAUUAGUACAACUGACUUCCAAUCAGUUAGUUUUGGUAUAAUCUGAAAAAGAAUA